CCUGCUGCCACCCUCAACUGAAUUUUCAACUCAGCCGUCCACCAGUGACUUCAAUCAUCACUUUUCUGCAUGUGUAAGCUGUACAAACUCUGCCAUCAUAUCCAAGACAUUGCAUUGUGAGGACUGGUGCCCUGGGAACACUGAGCGCAUUCUCGAAAAUUCCAAAUUUGUGCCACUUCCAUACGAAGACAGCCCAGAAUAAUUGGGCUCCAUCAACCAUCCCGG